CGCAAACAUCAUCACACAUGAUCCACAGAAACAUGAGUCAGGCUUCACUGUGCUUCAGAACCAGUCAGAACCAAUGAAGGAUCAAUAUUAAGUCCUCACAGGGAGAACAGCCAAGUGAUUAAUUCAGUGGACAUUUAGUCAACAAGAGUAAAAGACAGGAAGGGUAAAGUUCACAACAGUUAGCUGCGUACAGACGAAACAACUCUGUUAAAGUUUGUUUCCACCAGGAUACUAAAUGUAUUUGUUUUUAAACCAAAUAACCACUUUCAUAUUUUAAUAAUUAACUGAAUUCAGCCUAAACCAACAAUCACAACACGGCUGUGAUAAGAGAAGAAGGUGUGAGGAGCAGAUAAAAGAUGUCUGUGGAUGUGUGGCUGCUCACAGAUCAGACAAAAUGGAGGCUGUAACACUGAGUUACUCUGUGAGAUGAGCCGGCAGUGGUUGCUACGAGCAACAGGAUGUUCAGCUGAAACCAAACUGGAGCAGAACAGAAGUACUGAGGUGGUGAAGCUGACGGGUCACGGUUUCAAAAAGAAACCAGGUUUGAGUCCUUUAAGGCAAAACAACAUCUUUUAUGAGAGCUUUUAUAUCUGCAUGUGUGCUGAAGGCGACACUGCUGACUGAGUUAAGUUUGGAUCAGACAGGAUGUCUGUGUUCAUUCACAGAUCCAGAACAUCAUUAUCAGAAGCACGACACAAAUUUCACUGUUGAACAAAGACAAACAAAAUUAGGAGUGAGGAAAGCAGAUAUGUAUGGAUAGAAAAACCUGAUUUAAAAUGUUAUUUGUUUUAAAAGACAUUAAGUUAAUAUAUUAAAUAGCUGAAUGUGUCUGUGUGUCCAUCCUGAUGUCAGACUGAUCAGUGAUGUCACCGCCCUCGUCACUGUAACGAGGUUGUUUUGGUGAAGAAGACUCUUAAUGAGGUGAUGAGAUGAAUAAGUGAGUAAACCAGCUGCUCUCUGCAGCUAUGAAGGUGGCAGGGUCCGCCACAUGUAAACACAGUAAAACAGUAUAAAUUGUGUUUCUUUAUUCAGUCAUGAAAACAAGUAGAGUUUGUUUAUUUGGUCUGUUCAGGCAGAGAGAUCGUUUUAUCUUCUCUACAGAAUACACCUUUAAUUCUUGUCCUCCAUCAAACAUUAAGAGUUGAAAUCAUUUAGAAUAAAAUGAGAGAAGUGUUCUCUGAGCGGUGUUUGAUGUGGUCCGAUCUCUGAGCCUUUGCUGCACCUUGCUACCUGAAACGUGACCCAUAUUUACCCUGUAAUCCAGAGGUCGUGCUGUGACAGACAGAGGAACAAUGAAAUACUAAAGAAACAAAGAGCCCACGUUUGAGCCUGAGAUUGAAAAGAGACGACAACAUGGUGUAAUCCCUUUGGCUAGAGUUGCUGACGGGGGAUAACCCUUUAAAAUGGCCCCUCUCUCCUGUGCUGCCUCUGUUCAGCGCCCCCCACCAGCCCCUGCCUGUCUUUCUCCACACAGACGGACCGACCGACUGAACCGCUGGUACCACCGGCCCGUAAAGACACCUGCUCUCACAAACACAGGAAGCCGCGGCCAGCAGCACCUGUCCAGCUUCACUGACACCUCAAACCACUCGUGGCUUCCACCCAAACCAGGGAGAGGUAGAACCAUUCUGAGGCAGAACCAGAAUCACAGCUCUUCACUUCAGGACCCAGAACCGAGCCGGGCCGUCGGAUCAUGAUUGAGAGUGACAGAGAGCUGUCUGCCAUGGUGCAGGAGCUGUGGGACAACGACGUCAACAGACUCAAACCUGGAGUGGACUACAAGAUCUCUCUGCAGGGCAAAGCUGGAGACAGCAUGCCCACCAACAAUGACGACAACAGUGACGGAGCGGGAUAUCCUCUCUUCACUUAUGUGGAUGAGAACAUUUUCAAGAAGGAGACUUUUCUGGCCUUUAUCUCCCUGUUGGAUAACUAUGAGAGUGACACCGGCGAGCCAGAGAUCGUGACCCCUGAGGAGGUGGCAGAGAACCACAAGUUCCUGGACUCCAUCAUUAAGACUCCCACUAUGAAGAUUGCUCAUAAAUACCUGGCAGAGAAGAAUCUCUCUCCAGCAGAUGACACAAAGUUCAAGGAGCAGCUGUAUAGGAUCUGGUUUGAGCUGUAUGCCAGGAGAGGAUCCAGCAGGCCGGACUCUUCAGGGUUCGAACACGUGUUUGUCGGAGAGACGAGAGGAAGGCGGAUCGUCAUCGGCUUUCACAACUGGAUCCAGCUCUACUUACAAGAGAAGCUUGGACACAUUGACUACAAAGGCUACAGCGUCAACGCACAUUCACCUCAGCCCGACGAGAACAAACACAUCCUGGCGCUACAGUUCAGCUGGAAGAACGGCAUAAAGCCCAAGGGCAGCAUCUUCAUCGGCGUCAGUCCCGAGUUUGAGUUCGCCCUCUACACCCUCUGUUUCCUCACCUCGCCCAAUGAGCGCGUCAAAGUCCAGUUCAGUUUCUAUGACGUGGAGAUUGUUUGCCACCACUACAACCAAAAGCACAUUGGCACCACCUACCCGGUGCUCCUUAAGUACCAGAAGCCUUUGUAAACUCGACACCAUCAGUUUGAGAUGAAACUUCUCCAACUCUUGAACUUGCAUACAAAGUGUCACAGUUUCACUCUGUUCCAUGUGGGGGCGGUAGAGAGUUUGUUGUGGCCGAUGACGUCAAUCACUUGGAGAGAAGGAGU